rnacentral:misc_RNA from 1 species
GAGAACCAAGAGAUCCGUUGUUGAAAGUUUUGAAUAUUAAAUUUUAUAGUAUAAUAGUUUUUCAUAAUACAAAAUAUUGUUUGUGUUUAUGUCCACUGGAGAGACGAGCUCUCCAGGGAAGUAGUUCAUAGAGAAAAAACUCCAUUGUGUUUAGGAUGAGAAAUAGAAAACUGAUAGCAGAGAAUCAAGAACUGGCCGCGCAAUUAAGCGCAGGCCUUGUUCAGACGAUUCCCCCAGUAAUCUAUUCAUUCAUAAUCUUUAAUGAUCCUU